rnacentral:lncRNA from 1 species
UUUUAACCCUUUUCCUAGGGCCAACUGAUCACAUUGCGAUUGGAUCCCUUCAACAAGCAAUGAGGGGAUUUUAAUAGGUAGAACUACCUCAAUCCUGUAAACCAAAAAGAGAAGUGUUGCCCCAGUACCGAUGUUCGACAAACAAUGAGGGUAAAUGGUAAUUUCUCACGUCAAUCCUCGUAAGUCUCAGUCAUUUUCCUUCAAUUUUUGAUGUUCAACUCUAGGAACUUCAGUGACGAAUCGUGGUGUCCACUUCUGAGCUAAUUUGAGACUUCAGCUAUCGUGCUAUUGUUUAACCUCAAUGCAUUCUCCAAUACUCUAUUCUCUGAAAUUCUGUAUCGGUAUACGAUGACUUUAGCUCAUGAAGUAGCCUCUCAAAAUGAAACAAUGCCCAUUAGAAGUCUUCGAUAAUGGUGAUGUCCAUGCCCCAUUGUGCUCAAAAUUUGAGUCGUCCUUUUUCAGGUUUUCAACUCAGAUCCACCUUUGGUCAAAGCGCCCUUUGCGGGUUUUCGCCUUGGCCUCUC